UGCAAGUCGAGGGGCAGCAUUUCAGUUUGCUUGCAAACUGGAGAUGGCGACCGGCGCACGGGUGAGUAACACGUAUCCAACCUGCCGAUAACUCGGGGAUAGCCUUUCGAAAGAAAGAUUAAUACCCGAUGGCAUAAUUAGACCGCAUGGUCUUAUUAUUAAAGAAUUUCGGUUAUCGAUGGGGAUGCGUUCCAUUAGGCAGUUGGUGAGGUAACGGCUCACCAAACCUUCGAUGGAUAGGGGUUCUGAGAGGAAGGUCCCCCACAUUGGAACUGAGACACGGUCCAAACUCCUACGGGAGGCAGCAGUGAGGAAUAUUGGUCAAUGGACGAGAGUCUGAACCAGCCAAGUAGCGUGAAGGAUGACUGCCCUAUGGGUUGUAAACUUCUUUUAUAUGGGAAUAAAGUUUUCCACGUGUGGAAUUUUGUAUGUACCAUAUGAAUAAGGAUCGGCUAACUCCGUGCCAGCAGCCGCGGUAAUACGGAGGAUCCGAGCGUUAUCCGGAUUUAUUGGGUUUAAAGGGAGCGUAGGUGGACAGUUAAGUCAGUUGUGAAAGUUUGCGGCUCAACCGUAAAAUUGCAGUUGAUACUGGCUGUCUUGAGUACAGUAGAGGUGGGCGGAAUUCGUGGUGUAGCGGUGAAAUGCUUAGAUAUCACGAAGAACUCCGAUUGCGAAGGCAGCUCACUGGACUGCAACUGACACUGAUGCUCGAAAGUGUGGGUAUCAAACAGGAUUAGAUACCCUGGUAGUCCACACAGUAAACGAUGAAUACUCGCUGUUUGCGAUAUACAGUAAGCGGCCAAGCGAAAGCAUUAAGUAUUCCACCUGGGGAGUACGCCGGCAACGGUGAAACUCAAAGGAAUUGACGGGGGCCCGCACAAGCGGAGGAACAUGUGGUUUAAUUCGAUGAUACGCGAGGAACCUUACCCGGGCUUAAAUUGCAAAUGAAUAAUUUGGAAACAGGAUAGUCGCAAGGCAUUUGUGAAGGUGCUGCAUGGUUGUCGUCAGCUCGUGCCGUGAGGUGUCGGCUUAAGUGCCAUAACGAGCGCAACCCUUAUCUUUAGUUACUAACAGGUCAUGCUGAGGACUCUAGAGAGACUGCCGUCGUAAGAUGUGAGGAAGGUGGGGAUGACGUCAAAUCAGCACGGCCCUUACGUCCGGGGCUACACACGUGUUACAAUGGGGGGUACAGAAGGCAGCUACCUGGUGACAGGAUGCUAAUCCCAAAAGCCUCUCUCAGUUCGGAUCGAAGUCUGCAACCCGACUUCGUGAAGCUGGAUUCGCUAGUAAUCGCGCAUCAGCCAUGGCGCGGUGAAUACGUUCCCGGGCCUUGUACACACCGCCCGUCAAGCCAUGAAAGCCGGGGGUACCUGAAGUACGUAACCGCAAGGAGCGUCC
rnacentral:rRNA from 1 species